rnacentral:rRNA from 1 species
GUGGGGAAUAUUCCGCAAUGGACGAAAGUCUGACGGAGCAACGCCGCGUGAGUGAUGAAGGUUUUCGGACUGUAAAGCUCUGUUGUUUAGGACGAAAGUGCCUGUUGCAAACAGUUACAGGUAUUGACGGUACUAAACGAGGAAGCCACGGCUAACUACGUGCCAGCAGCCGCGGUAAUACGUAGGUGGCAAGCGUUGUCCGGAAUUAUUGGGCGUAAAGAGCAUGUAGGCGGGAAUCUAAGUCUGUUGUGAAAAUGCGGGGCUCAACCCCGUAUUGCGAUGGAAACUGGGUUUCUUGAGUGCAGGAGAGGAAAGGGGAAUUCCCAGUGUAGCGGUGAAAUGCGUAGAUAUUGGGAGGAACACCAGUGGCGAAGGCGCCUUUCUGGACUGUGUCUGACGCUGAGAUGCGAAAGCCAGGGUAGCGAACGGGAUUAGAUACCCUAGUAGUCC